CCUACGGGAGGCAGCAGUAGGGAAUCUUCCACAAUGGACGAAAGUCUGAUGGAGCAACGCCGCGUGAGCGAUGAAGGCCUUCGGGUCGUAAAGCUCUGUUGUUAGGGAAGAACAAGUAUCGGAGUAACUGCCGGUACCUUGACGGUACCUAACCAGAAAGCCACGGCUAACUACGUGCCAGCAGCCGCGGUAAUACGUAGGUGGCAAGCGUUGUCCGGAAUUAUUGGGCGUAAAGCGCGCGCAGGCGGUCCUUUAAGUCUGAUGUGAAAGCCCACGGCUCAACCGUGGAGGGUCAUUGGAAACUGGGGGACUUGAGUACAGAAGAGGAAAGCGGAAUUCCACGUGUAGCGGUGAAAUGCGUAGAGAUGUGGAGGAACACCAGUGGCGAAGGCGGCUUUCUGGUCUGUAACUGACGCUGAGGCGCGAAAGCGUGGGGAGCAAACAGGAUUAGAUACCCUGGUAGUCCACGCCGUAAACGAUGAGUGCUAAGUGUUAGGGGGUUUCCGCCCCUUAGUGCUGCAGCUAACGCAUUAAGCACUCCGCCUGGGGAGUACGGCCGCAAGGCUGAAACUCAAAUGAAUUGACGG
rnacentral:rRNA from 1 species